CAGUUGGGUUAAAAUGUGUCACGUUUUUUGCUUCUCUGUGAUGAGAUCACCUGUUUUAGUUAAAAUAUGGAAAGAAUUGUGAACUGACUGUGACUGAACAUUAAAGAAACCAAUAAAACGCCUGAUUAAGAAUGACAAGUCUGUGCUUUGACUGAAUGAGAUGUAUAAACAACAGCACGGCGUAUAUGCCAAGAUGCUCUGAAAAUGGAGCUAAGAAAUGUCACACACUUGCAAAAUCCUUUCAUUCUUAUGAAUUUGUAGUUGGGGUCAAAGACAAUUUGGAAAAUUACUCCACUAGAAAAUUCAAUUCCACAAAUGACACACUUUUUAUUUAAUUUUUUUUACUGGUAUGUUUCAAAAAAAUACUGCUUUGGUCAUGACAUACUUACCUUUACAGGUAUCAUACUUAUUUGUGGACAUACUUAUCCACAAUUAAACUGUUAGGACAGCUGAGAAUACUAACCUGUAAGAAGAAAUCCAAGAAAACCCCAUGAUAACUGCAAAUACAAAUUCUAAAUCUUAAAAAUAAAGGUUCCUUCAUAGUGAUGCCUUAGAAAUAACAUUUUGGGUUUCCCAAAGAACCUUUCAGUAAAUAAAUCUUCAAAGAACAUUUUAAUAAUCAAAAGAACCUUUUUCCACUAUGGAGAACCUAUCAGUACAGUGCAGGUUCCAUGUUAAAGGCUGCAUGUGGAACCAUCAAUGCCAACGAAGAACCUUUAUUUUUAAGAGUGUAUGCUGAACUAAUACAUUGCAGAAAUAUAGUUGCUAACAUACUGGAGCUAAUCUUCUGGAAUAGACAAAAACAGGCCCAGAAACAACCUUAUAGGCAAAUACUAAAGAUUUUAUCAUCACCUUUAUCAUCAAUAUCAUUUUUUACAUUCUGUCAGAUGUGUCAGCCACUGAUUUCCAAACGUAUGUUCUACUUUUUACUGACAAUGAAACAUGGAAAGUGUCCGAAUCUGAGAAGCUGUGAUUGCUCUGUAAUGCCAAAAGUGCACUUAGGAUGUCACUGGCAUUCAGACAAAAUGGAAGUCGGCCAUACGUGUUCUUCCUUAAGUGCCCUUAAGUGUUCGUGCAGCACAUAAAACGGAGAGUGAACAGUCAUCAAACCACAAACACUGUACAGUGGUCCAGCCACACUUAAAAUGAAUAUCAUUGUCUUAUUUUGUUCUCCUGUGCAUAAGGAAGGAUUUAAAUUAGUGACUUUCAGAAACAAACUAAGGCUUUGAGGGUCUCCAGAUUUCUAUCAGUAGGCCUACAUUCUGUUAUUCAACCAGACAUAUUUCACAUAUUUGUUUAAUCCAUGUAACCAUGAUGAAUAUUUAUCAAAUUAUUUGAUUCAAAUUUUUCAAUAAAAUUAAAUUCACAACAAAAAAUUCUUGAAAA
ensembl:lncRNA